rnacentral:rRNA from 1 species
UACGGGGGGAGCAAGCGUUGUUCGGAUUUACUGGGCGUAAAGGGCGCGUAGGCGGCCACCGCAAGUCGACUGUGAAAUCUCCGGGCUUACCCGGAAAGGUCAGCCGAUACUGCGGGGCUAGAGUGCGGAAGGGCAACUGGAAUCUUGGUGUAGCGGUGAAAUGCGUAGAUAUCAAGAGGAACACCUGCGGCGAAGGCGGGUUGCUGGGCCGACACGUGACGCUGAGGCGCGAAAGCCAGGGGAGCGAACGGG